GCCUGGCUAACUCAGUCGAUAGAGCAUGAGACUCUUAAUCUCAGGGUCGUGAGUUCAAGCCUGAUGUUGGGUG
rfam:Mesocricetus auratus contig061503, whole genome shotgun sequence.